rnacentral:rRNA from 1 species
UACGUAGGGUGCAAGCGUUAAUCGGAAUUACUGGGCGUAAAGCGUGCGCAGGCGGUUAUGUAAGACAGGGGUGAAAUCCCCGGGCUUAACCUGGGAACCGCAUUUGUGACUGCAUAGCUAGAGUACGGCAGAGGGGGAUGGAAUUCCGCGUGUAGCAGUGAAAUGCGUAGAUAUGCGGAGGAACACCGAUGGCGAAGGCAAUCCCCUGGGCCUGUACUGACGCUGAGGUACGAAAGCGUGGGGAGCAAACAGG